rnacentral:rRNA from 1 species
AAAAACAUAGCCCUAGAAAAUAUUUAAGGUGUAACCUGCCCAAUGAUUUUAAAUUACAGUUAAUAAAAAAUUAUGAAAUAAAAUUAAAAGGACGCGGUAACCUUGACCGUGAUAAUGUAGCAUAAUCAUUCGCCAUUUAAUUGAUGGAUAGUAUGAAUGGUUAAACGAAUAUUUCACUGUCUUAAAAAGAAAUACCCAAAAAUUAGAAUAAUAGUAAAGAUACUAUUUUAGAUUGUAAGACGAAAAGACCCUAUAGAGCUUAACUAUAAUCUCUAUAUAAAAAAAGAAAAUAUUUCUAUUAAUAAAGAGAUUGGUAGUUUAGUUGGGGCGACUAUCUUUUAAAAAAAACAAAGAUAAGCAAAGUAAAUAAUAAAACUUAUUGUAUAAUUAAUUAAUUUAACAAUUAUAAAAAUAGGCUAUAAUGACCCGUUAUAUUUCAAUAAAAAAAAUAACGAUUAAUAAAUAAAAGCUACCUUAGGGAUAACAGGAUAAUUUUAUUUUAGAGAUCUAAUCGAAAAUAAAGUUUGUCACCUCUAUGUUGAAUUAAGAUAUCCUGACAAUGCAGAAGUUGUCAAAGGUAGGUCUGUUCGACCCUUAAAAUCUUACAUGAUUUGAGUUCAUUCC